GACGAACGCUGGCGGCAUGCCUAAUACAUGCAAGUCGAGCGAAUCAAUAGGAGCUUGCUCCUUGAGAUUAGCGGCGGACGGGUGAGUAACACGUGGGCAACCUGCCCUGCAGAUGGGGAUAACUCCGGGAAACCGGGGCUAAUACCGAAUAAUCAGUUCCUUCGCAUGAAGGAACUCUGAAAGACGGUUUCGGCUGUCACUGCAGGAUGGGCCCGCGGCGCAUUAGCUAGUUGGUGGGGUAAUGGCCUACCAAGGCAACGAUGCGUAGCCGACCUGAGAGGGUGAUCGGCCACACUGGGACUGAGACACGGCCCAGACUCCUACGGGAGGCAGCAGUAGGGAAUCUUCCACAAUGGACGAAAGUCUGAUGGAGCAAUGCCGCGUGAGUGAAGAAGGUUUUCGGAUCGUAAAGCUCUGUUGCGAGGGAAGAACACGUACGGGAGUAACUGCCCGUACCUUGACGGUACCUCGUCAGAAAGCCACGGCUAACUACGUGCCAGCAGCCGCAGUAACAC
rnacentral:rRNA from 1 species